CAGACACAGAAUUCCACUCUUAUCCCCCUCAGUUUGCAGAAUGUCUAAGUGUAGUGACUCUAGACUCAAUGUGAGAUGAAAAGGGAAAAAAGAAACUGUGUAUAAAUAGUACUAGAGAUAUGGGUUAUAGGAUAGGUAAUUCAGCGUGAAGUUCACGGAUGCCUCUUCAAGAAACAGAAACUUCACUUAAUCUGGCUUUCAAGAUGGUAAGAAAAGAAGUGGACUCACGUAAUUGAAAAGGCUUGAGUUCUGGAAGCUUAGAAGUCCGUGAUUGGGGUCCCAGCAUGCUUGGAUUCAGGUGGCCUUCAGACACUUCUUCCAUAAGGAAAUUGGGCAGCUUCCUGAAAUGAACAACACGUAAAGCCAUGGGAAUUAUGGAUCAGCUCCCAGACCUUCCACUUCAUGGCUGCAAGCCUUUGUGAAAGUUUCUGACCUCUUUAUGCUUCAGGAAUCUUAGCAAUGAAACAAGGAUAAUGGCACUUACUGUAACAAUCAUGCUUCUAACAGUUCAAAAAGCCAAGGGAAGAUCAGAAGCUUAUCUUCCAGCCAACUGGGGUUGGUUGUGGGGGGGUUGGUGGAAUUUGACAGAAGCUUGUAAUCAGCCACAUUGGAGGAUGAGGGGAAGGCCUGUCAUCUGUUUUGAAACGUGUUACAACAAGAUGUUACAUUUCUGGAAACCUGGGUGCAGAAAAAAAUGCACAUUUCUGAGAGUUUGUGGGGAUUGAGUGAAUCUGCUUCAUUUCAGCCCGAAGUUGCUGGAGGGUCCUUCGUCAGGAGACAGUAUAUAUAGACUUGCCAGAAGUGCAAUAAUUAUUCAGUCUCUUUCUCAGUGUUAAGCCAAUGUACAACAUAAUUACAAAUCUGCUUCUAUAGUA
rnacentral:lncRNA from 1 species